rnacentral:rRNA from 1 species
GAUGAACGCUGGCGGCGUGCCUAAUACAUGCAAGUCGAGCGAAUGGAUUGAGAGCUUGCUCUUAUGAAGUUAGCGGCGGACGGGUGAGUAACACGUGGGUAACCUGCCCAUAAGACUGGGAUAACUCCGGGAAACCGGGGCUAAUACCGGAUAACAUUUUGAACCGCAUGGUUCGAAAUUGAAAGGCGGCUUCGGCUGUCACUUAUGGAUGGACCCGCGUCGCAUUAGCUAGUUGGUGAGGUAACGGCUCACCGAGGCAACGAUGCGUAGCCGACCUGAGAGGGUGAUCGGCCACACUGGGACUGAGACACGGCCCAGACUCCUACGGGAGGCAGCAGUAGGGAAUCUUCCGCAAUGGACGAAAGUCUGACGGAGCAACGCCGCGUGAGUGAUGAAGGCUUUCGGGUCGUAAAACUCUGUUGUUAGGGAAGAACAAGUGCUAGUUGAAUAAGCUGGCACCUUGACGGUACCUAACCAGAAAGCCACGGCUAACUACGUGCCAGCAGCCGAAGUAA